GAUGAACGCUGGCGGCGUGCCUAAUACAUGCAAGUCGAGCGAAUGGAUUAAGAGCUUGCUCUUAUGAAGUUAGCGGCGGACGGGUGAGUAACACGUGGGUAACCUGCCCAUAAGACUGGGAUAACUCCGGGAAACCGGGGCUAAUACCGGAUAACAUUUUGAACCGCAUGGUUCGAAAUUGAAAGGCGGCUUCGGCUGUCACUUAUGGAUGGACCCGCGUCGCAUUAGCUAGUUGGUUAGGUAACGGCUCACCAAGGCAACGAUGCGUAGCCGAACUGAGAGGGUGAUCGGCCACGCUGGGACUGAGACACGGCCCAGACUCCUACGGGAGGCAGCAGUAGGGAAUCUUCCGCAAUGGACGAAAGGCUGACGGGGCAACGCCGCGUGAGUGGUGAAGGCUUUCGGGUCGUAAAACUCUGUUGUUAGGGGAAAACAAGUGCUAGUUGAAUAAGCUGGCACCUUGACGGUACCUAACCAGAAAGCCACGGCUAACUACGUGCCAGCCGCCGCAGUAA
rnacentral:rRNA from 1 species